UAACUAGCUGGAAACUCAAGCGAUCUUCGUGUUGAUACCGUUCGGGUGAGAAUAUUGAUAUCCGCAAUAUUGAUCAUAAACUUUCCCUGUUAAGUUCGUUCAUAAAACGUUACCAAUAACCUUCACCAAGCUUUAGCUGUAGCGUGUUUAGUUCAUAUAAAACUGAACAAACCGGUGAAGUCUUCGAAAUACGAAGAGAGUUUACAACGGUGAUGGAAGUUCCUUGCGAGAAGCAACCACACGUCCACUAUCAGCUGUAAAACUAAUCGUAAAGCAGUUAAACUUUUCAACCCGAAGCCAAAAAACCGGAGUCCAUUUAUUACACACAAAUACUUAAACGAUCAUACACAUAAAGAUCACUCUAAAUAUGAUUUUGGUGGGGUAAAACUGGUUCGCUAAAAUGGCGGCUAAAAUCUGUCCGAAAACCACACACUCAUUUCGCUACUGUCCGUUUCGCCAUUCAUCGGAACAGAAGCAACAAAAAGGGUAACUUUACACAGUUUCAAUUUAUUUCUCCCUUGGGAGGUGGUUUUGGUUUCGAAACCUAUUUUACUUCCUCACGUUUUUUGUUGUUGUUUGCCGCAUCCAUGACUCAGUGGCUCAGUGGUCACGCUUUUUACGGUAGUUGUGCAUGAAUAGCUUGUUCCGUGGUGUUUUGCAGUUCCAGUUCUGCUUCGAUUGACGGACCUGUAAAGAAAUCCACCGAUAUUCCGGUGAGACGUUUUUUUUCUUCUAAAGAGUCCGUGUUACUUCCACUGGCACGUAACGUUGGUUCAGGUAAAAGCAUCACGAAAUAUUCGGUUUUUUUUUGGUGCUAAUAGGUGAGUUCUAAUGACAAACUACUCCGUUACCAACAGGUUAACAUGCUUGUAAAUCACGCACUCUGCUAGUUGUGUGUCUCCUUUUUGGUUUCAUCCGUUGGUCUUACUGAGCAAAACGCACCAUAAAAUGUGAUAAGCAAAGAUCAUGAGCAAUCAAGUGAAUCAUCCUUUUAUGGUAAUAGCUUUCUGUAGAAACAGAAAGACUCUCGACAAAUUGUGAAGUGCCGUCUGGUUCUUUUUAUGUGAAUCAACACCAUGCCAAGUCUUUUAGUAAUUUAAACACUUUAAGAAAAUAUUGGUUUUUCCAAUCUUGAUUGUAUCUCUACCUCACUGGGUUAGGUCAAGUAAAAAGAAAUCAAGUACCGACAAGUAUAUCUCUACAAACUUCAGUCAGUUUUUGAUCUAUAGUGUUAUUUCCCGAGGAUCACCCGGUGAUGCAUCAUAGACUAAAGGCAUCUUCGUGAGCGGACGCUACGAUACGCUACAAAUUAACCCGACCACUAAAAUCUAAACAAACUUCAUCCGAUCAACCACAAAAGAAGUGUGAUAGAAACAAUCAUUCUUCCCCAUGUGUCGUACAAUAGCAGUCCUCGUCAUCCGUUUACCGAUUAGUGUUGUGCCGGUUUUAAGGCGAUAUUUUAUCACACAUUUUUCUUCAUUCUGGCUUUGAGUGCGUACUUCUAAAUGAAAAAUAAAACCCAAACAUACUUCGUUUCGUUCACCAUUCUUAACACUCUCUCUUUACCGAAACGGUGACCUCCUGCAGCGCUAAUCAACCUCAGCGAUCGUUCGGUAAGUGUGCUAGUUUCGUCAUCUGGCGUUUCGACUUGUGCAGCAAACGAACAACGCGAAGGAAAACCACCAUCCCAGACUGGGGGGAAAAAUGGAGAGACAAAACUGAUAUUAUAAAUAUCCAACAAACCCAACCACAUCCCGGUUCGGCCCGGUGACAGCUGCAGUGCAUCUUCCUUGUUCGUUGGCGAUUGAGAAGAACAUGGUUUCAUCCUGCAGUGCAUUCUUAAGCAAUUUGGUUUACUGCUACCGAACGAUGCAACAAGAAAAUUGCGAUGAUUAAGAAAAUGCCAACAUGGGAGUAAAAGGGAGUAAAAUUAAAUCAUAAACAUUCAUCAGUGUGAAAUAAAUGUUUCUGUUUCUCCACUAACUCUGUUUGUUUAUAUUUUGAUUCAUUCAACGGUUUAAAUAGUGAAACCACUUAAAAACUGAUUUUCCAUUUUUUGAUACAAAACAAAGUUAAAAAUUCCCCCAAAUGAUUCAUAACACUUCACAUGUUUCCGCACGUAAUGCGUUUCAGGUCCAUAAACGGUCACGUUGGAAAUCUAAACAUAUUUUGUUUGCUAUGUUUUAUUAUCGCCCCUACUCGAAUGUUGUCUUCAUUGCGUUAUCAUGCGUCCGUAUGCCAUCACGGACAACGAUAAGAUCCCUAUAAUAAUCGUUUGUUUUUAUAAAACUUGAAAUGUGGCUGG